rnacentral:rRNA from 1 species
GCAAGUCGAGUGCGCGGUUGUAGCAAUACAACUGGCGCACGGCGCACGGGUGCGUAACACGUGGGCAAUCUGCCCUCCGAUGGGGAAUAACUCCGGGAAACCGAAGCUAAUUCCGCAUAACAUUCCCUGGACUCCGGUUCGGGGAUUCAAAGCAGCAAUGCGUCGGAGGAGGAGCCCGCGCCCGAUUAGCUAGUUGGUGAGGUAACGGCUCACCAAGGCUAUGAUCGGUAGCUGGUCUGAGAGGAUGGCCAGCCACACUGGAACUGAGACACGGUCCAGACUCCUACGGGAGGCAGCAGUGGGGAAUCUUGCGCAAUGGGCGAAAGCCUGACGCAGCGACGCCGCGUGGGGGAUGAAGCUUCUCGGAGUGUAAACCCCUUUCGACCGGGACGAAUGCCCGCAAGGGAGUGACGGUACCGGUAGAAGAAGCCCCGGCUAACUACGUGCCAGCAGCCGCGGUAAGACGUAGGGGGCCAGCGUUGUUCGGAAUUACUGGGUGUAAAGGGUUCGUAGGCGGUGUGGCAAGUCGGGAGUGAAAUUUCUGGGCUUAACCCAGAACCUGCUUCCGAAACUGCUGUGCUGGAGUGUGGGAGAGGCGCGUGGAAUUGCAGGUGUAGCGGUGAAAUGCGU